AUACAUGCAGUCGAGCGCAGGAAAUCGACGGAACCCUUCGGGGAAGUCGACGGAAUGAGCGGCGGACGGGUGAGUAACACGUAAAGAACCUGCCCUCAGGUCUGGGAUAACCACGAGAAAUCGGGGCUAAUACCGGAUGNGUCAUCGGACCGCAUGGUCGGGGANUGGAAAGGCGCUUCGGCGUCGCCUGGGGAUGGCUUUGCGGGUGCAUUAGCUAGUUGGUGGGGGUAAUGGNCCCACCCAAGGCGACGAUGCAUAGGCCGAACCUGAGAGGGUGAUCGGGCCACACUGGGGACUGAGACACGGCCCAGACUUCCUACGGGAGGCAGCAGUA
rnacentral:rRNA from 1 species